AGCUGAAUGCCACGUCGAACCGGCCUGAGACAGCAACGCGCCAUGCACGCGGAAACUCCUUUUCACCGGUGGCGAGAGCUACCGGCGAGGAAUCCGUCGUCCGCCCCUACUUUAAGAUCAACGCGCGUGCCACCUAUUUGUUCUCAUAUUUUUAUUAUACGAAAGCAAUACCUAGCAAAAUACAUCGGUACCCACCCACGCCCACGACCGACUUUAUAUACCCUGACACCCUAACGACGACCCGUGAGGCUGACUCUCUCUCUCUCUCCCUCCCCCCUUCCUCUCUCUCUCGGUUGCUCCUCCGGCAGGCCGCCGCCACCGCAGCUCCGUGCUCCUGCAGCCCGCCGCCACCGCCGCUCCGUGCUCCGGCAGCCUGUCGCCAUAGAAGACCAGAUCUGGCCUCCCCUACGCAGCAACGUCCAGAUCUGGCUGCUCCGGCCGCCGUGAUGCCACCGAGAUGGUGCGUAGACGGGUACCCCCCGGCAGUCGUGCUCCGGUAGUUUGUCGCCGUCGGAUCCGUACCCUCCUUCCCCAACUCUUCUGUGCGAUGGGAAAUGUGUGCGUGAUGAGAACAUGGUGGGUUCCAUAUCAUAAAAAGUUGUGGGCCCUGAGCAAAGGCAUAUCAAUGCCACAAAUGCAGAAAAGGAACCAAAUACAUCUGAGAAUGUCAGAUGGAGUCAGAUACGCUGCAAGCUCAUUGGCUAGAGACUCACCGGUAGCUCCCUGCUCCCGUAAAAAAACCUAGACCUCCUUUGAUUUAGAGGAAUUUUGUAGGAAUUUCAUAUGAUAGGAUUUUUAUAAAAAAAUUCCUUUAGAGCCCUUUGAUUUGUAGAAAUGAAAUCCUAUUUUUAUGAAGAAAUUUUUCCUAUGCUCCA